AAGCCCGGAAAUUGAAAUUGAAACAAGAUUAGACUAUAAUUAUUAUUAUUAUUAUUCUUUGGCGACCCGGCCGGCCGUUUGCCCUUGCUGAGUAUUUACUUGCUACAUAACUACGCAGUUAGGUUGGUUUUGGUUCGUCGGAACUGCGAUUGCGAUUGCGAUUGCGAUUGCGAUGGAUGGGUGGAAAAUAAUGUCUUGGGCGGGCCAAUAUACUUACAAACGGAAUAGAUAGGAUAACUGGAAUCGUCAUUGAGAGCUUGUUGCUUCUCUCCUUCUCUUUCUUGGAGCAAAUCGGGGCGAUUCUUCUUUUGCUUUGCCUUUCUUUUCUUUCUUUGGUUUCCUUUCGUUUGGCUUUGGCUUUGGCUUUGGCUUUCUAUGGGCGAUGGGCGAGAGUGAUGUCACCACUGCCACUCACUGUCAUCAUCAUCAUCGUCAUCAACAUCAUCAUCUGCCCUGGGGUGG
rnacentral:sRNA from 1 species